UUUCCGUAGGUGAACCUGCGGAAGGAUCAUUAGAGAAACAUAAUCGGGUUGGCGGUCGACGUCGCAAGACUAGACCCUGCCCUUUUAAUCCACACACCUGUGCACUGUAGAGCUCUGGUCUUUAUCGACCGAGUUCGCCCUUUAUACAAACAUUAGUAGUCCUAAACGUAACGUCUUAUUAUAACCUAAUAAAACUUUCAACAACGGAUCUCUUGGCUCUCGCAUCGAUGAAGAACGCAGC
rnacentral:misc_RNA from 1 species